UACAGAGGUGGCUAGCGUUGUUCGGAAUUACUGGGCGUAAAGGGCGCGUAGGCGGCUUGGUCAGUCCCGUGUGAAAUCCCUCGGCUCAACUGAGGAACUGCACGGGAAACUGCCUGGCUUGAGUUCGGGAGAGGGAAGCGGAAUUCCGGGUGUAGCGGUGAAAUGCGUAGAUAUCCGGAGGAACACCGGUGGCGAAGGCGGCUUCCUGGACCGACACUGACGCUGAGGCGCGAAAGCUAGGGGAGCAAACGGG
rnacentral:rRNA from 1 species